rnacentral:rRNA from 1 species
UACGUAGGUGGCAAGCGUUGUCCGGAUUUACUGGGCGUAAAGAGCGCGCAGGCGGUCGUCCAAGUCGCGUGUGAAAGCCCCCGGCUCAACUGGGGAGGGUCACGCGAUACUGGUCGACUCGAAGACAGGAGAGGGUAGUGGAAUUCCCGGUGUAGUGGUGAAAUGCGUAGAUAUCAGGAGGAACACCGGUGGCGAAGGCGGGUCUCUGGGCCGAUAUUGACGCUGAGGAGCGAAAGCGUGGGGAGCGAACAGG